AAUAGAUACCCCGGUAGUCCACGCCGUAAACGAUGAGUGCUAGGUGUUAGGGGGUUUCCACCCCUUAGUGCUGCAGCUAACGCAUUAAGCACUCCGCCUGGGGAGUACGGUCGCAAGACUGAAACUCAAAGGAAUUGACGGGGGCCCGCACAAGCGGUGGAGCAUGUGGUUUAAUUCGAAGCAACGCGAAGAACCUUACCAGGUCUUGACAUCCCGCUGACCGCCAUGGAGACAUGGCUUUCCCUUCGGGGACGGCGGUGACAGGUGGUGCAUGGUUGUCGUCAGCUCGUGUCGUGAGAUGUUGGGUUAAGUCCCGCAACGAGCGCAACCCUUGUCCUUAGUUGCCAUCAUUCAGUCGGGCACUCUAAGGAGACUGCCGUACAAAUACGGAGGAAGGUGGGGAUGACGUCAAAUCAUCAUGCCCCUUAUGACCUGGGCUACACACGUGCUACAAUGGGCAGUACAAAGGGCUGCGAACCCGCGAGGGGAGCCAAUCCCAAAAAGCUGCUCUCAGUUCGGAUUGCAGG
rnacentral:rRNA from 1 species